GCUGGACCUGCUCUCUCUGGGAUUGUCCGCGUGACAUUUUUGUUCUGAGGAAAUGACAACAUAUUCUUCCAUAAACAUGUACUCACAUAGACCAGAGAUGAACAGAAACAUCAAAAUUUCAACAUGGAGAAGUGCAUCUUACAUUUUUUACGAACAUGUACUUUUCCGGAUAAAUGAAAUGGGAACAAGCUAAAGCUGACGCCGUCCGGUGGAGCUUCGUACAGGAAAUACUGUUGCUUAACUGGUGCCACGUUGGAUAAAAUGCACAAAAAGCGCGGAAUGAGCACUCAUAUAGAUCCAAAUAAACAUUUUCUCAUUUGACAA